GAUGAACGCGUAGCGGGGAGGCUUAACACAUGCAAGGUCGAGGGGCAUCACGAGGUAGCAAUACUUUGGUGGCGACCGGCGCACGGGUGAGUAACACGUAUGCAACCUACCCUGUACAGGGGGAUAACCCGGAGAAAUUCGGACUAAUAUCCCAUACAAUUAUUGGAGGGCAUCCUUUGAUAAUUAAAGCUCAGGCGGUAUAGGAUGGGCAUGCGGAACAUUAGCUAGUUGGUAGGGUAACGGCCUACCAAGGCUACGAUGUUUAGGGGACCUGAGAGGGUUAUCCCCCACACUGGUACUGAGACACGGACCAGACUCCUACGGGAGGCAGCAGUGAGGAAUAUUGGUCAAUGGGCGCAAGCCUGAACCAGCCAUCCCGCGUGAAGGAAGAAGGCCCUAUGGGUUGUAAACUUCUUUUCCAGGGGGGUGAAUAAUUCCGAUGUAUCGGGAGAUGACGGUACCCUGGGAAUAAGCAUCGGCUAACUCCGUG
rnacentral:rRNA from 1 species